CCUACGGGAGGCAGCAGUGGGGAAUAUUGCACAAUGGGCGCAAGCCUGAUGCAGCCAUGCCGCGUGUGUGAAGAAGGCCCUCGGGUUGUAAAGCACUUUCAGCGGGGAGGAAGGCGUUAAGGUUAAUAACCUUGUCGAUUGACGUUACCCGCAGAAGAAGCACCGGCUAACUCCGUGCCAGCAGCCGCGGUAAUACGGAGGGUGCAAGCGUUAAUCGGAAUUACUGGGCGUAAAGCGCACGCAGGCGGUCUGUCAAGUCGGAUGUGAAAUCCCCGGGCUCAACCUGGGAACUGCAUUCGAAACUGGCAGGCUAGAGUCUUGUAGAGGGGGGUAGAAUUCCAGGUGUAGCGGUGAAAUGCGUAGAGAUCUGGAGGAAUACCGGUGGCGAAGGCGGCCCCCUGGACAAAGACUGACGCUCAGGUGCGAAAGCGUGGGGAGCAAACAGGAUAGAUACCCGGGUAGUC
rnacentral:rRNA from 1 species